UACGUAGGGGCUAGCGUUAUCCGGAUUUACUGGGCGUAAAGGGUGCGUAGGUGGUUUCUUAAGUCAGAGGUGAAAGGCUACGGCUCAACCGUAGUAAGCCUUUGAAACUGGGAAACUUGAGUGCAGGAGAGGAGAGUGGAAUUCCUAGUGUAGCGGUGAAAUGCGUAGAUAUUAGGAGGAACACCAGUUGCGAAGGCGGCUCUCUGGACUGUAACUGACACUGAGGCACGAAAGCGUGGGGAGCAAACAGGAUUAGAUACCCCUGUAGUCCCU
rnacentral:rRNA from 1 species